rnacentral:sRNA from 1 species
GCCAGGCACAGUGGUAUGUGCCUGUAAUCCCAGCAGCUUGGGAGGCUGAGGCAGGAGGAUCUCAAGUUCAAAGCCAGCUUUAGCACCUUAGUGAGGCCCUAAGCAACUUAAAGAGACCCUGUCUCAA